rnacentral:rRNA from 1 species
AGUGAACGCUGGCGGUAGGCCUAACACAUGCAAGUCGAACGGCAGCACAGUAAGAGCUUGCUCUUACGGGUGGCGAGUGGCGGACGGGUGAGGAAUACAUCGGAAUCUACUUUUUCGUGGGGGAUAACGUAGGGAAACUUACGCUAAUACCGCAUACGACCUACGGGUGAAAGCAGGGGAUCUUCGGACCUUGCGCGAUUGAAUGAGCCGAUGUCGGAUUAGCUAGUUGGCGGGGUAAAGGCCCACCAAGGCGACGAUCCGUAGCUGGUCUGAGAGGAUGACCGCCCAAACUGAACCGGGGACACGUUCCAACUCCUUACGGGAGGCAGCGUUGGGGAUUAUGGGCCAUGGGCGCAAGCCUGAUCCAGCCAUACCGCGUGGGUGAAGAAGGCCUUCGGGUUGUAAAGCCCUUUUGUUGGGAAAGAAAAGCAGCAGGUUAAUACCCCGCUGUUCUGACGGUACCCAAAGAAUAAGCACCGGCUAACUUCGUG